UGCAGUCGAACGAUGAAGCCCAGCUUGCUGGGUGGAUUAGUGGCGAACGGGUGAGUAACACGUGAGUAACCUGCCCUUGACUCUGGGAUAAGCGCUGGAAACGGCGUCUAAUACCGGAUACGAGCUUCCACCGCAUGGUGAGUUGCUGGAAAGAAUUUCGGUCAAGGAUGGACUCGCGGCCUAUCAGGUAGUUGGUGAGGUAACGGCUCACCAAGCCGACGACGGGUAGCCGGCCUGAGAGGGUGACCGGCCACACUGGGACUGAGACACGGCCCAGACUCCUACGGGAGGCAGCAGUGGGGAAUAUUGCACAAUGGGCGCAAGCCUGAUGCAGCAACGCCGCGUGAGGGACGAAGGCCUUCGGGUCGUAAACCUCUUUUAGCAGGGAAGAAGCGAAAGUGACGGUACCUGCAGAAAAAGCACCGGCUAACUACGUGCCAGCAGCCGCGGUAAUACGUAGGGUGCGAGCGUUAUCCGGAAUUAUUGGGCGUAAAGAGCUCGUAGGCGGUUUGUCACGUCUGUUGUGAAA
rnacentral:rRNA from 1 species